rnacentral:lncRNA from 1 species
AGCAGCGGCAGCAGUGGCGGUGGCCACAGAGGGCAGCCGCUGCCCGCCUUCAUUGAUACCUCCUAUGCGCAAAUGCUGUCCUGUUGUACUCUCGUUUACUACUAAAAACUGCCCUGUUUAAGACCCUUAAUGUCUUUGGUUGGCCUUACGGUAAUGUCUGAGAUCCUCACCCUGACACCCUGGGCAAUGCCAGGCCUGCUCCGCUCUUCCAGCCACAUGCCCCCAGCCCUCAGCCUGCAUCUUUCUUUCAGUUCCUCAGCAUCCUGCCCUCCCUGUGCGUGUUCUUCGUUCCUCAGGAACAAGCAGCGCUCCUGACCACCUGCCCCUGUAGCCCACGCCCACCCCACAGCCUUAGCUCCGACCAGAAAAGAAGGAAGUGCUCACGGAAGGAUGGGGAUAUGCCAAAAGGGCAUAGAAGCCAACCUGCUGGAGCUCCCAAUGGCGAAAGCUGGACCGAGUUGAGCAAAAAAAACAAAUAAUGAUAGCAGUGGAUUCUAAUUCAUAGAAUAAUAUAAAUAUUCAUGGGUCCAUAUUGAUACAAAAAAUGCAAACCAGUGAGAGGAGAGAACUCAUGUGUUGUGCCUGCUACUCACUGCUGUGUCUCCCCUGGGGCCAGAACACAACAUGGUGCACAGUCGGCGGUAACUGCUCAGAGUGGAAUGAAGGAGCUGUUGGUGUCACCCAUGCACAGUGUGCCACAUUUCAUGAAUCUUUGCGAAUCCGAGCAGUGAACCCUUGGUGUAACAAUGCAAUAACAGCAAAUGGAGAGACUGUUCUGGCUGUCCUGCGUCAUUCAGACUUUGUUCGGAAAGUUCCGUCUGUGGAGCUGUCUUGCCGAGGACAGAGAGCACUGCACACGUCUGUCAAGUCCCUGUUCUGGUUAAGCUCCGACGCUGCCCCCUUGGUAUCCAGCCCACCCCUCCUCCAAAUGCCCCUGUGCACCCUUGGUUUCCCACCUAGGAGCUCAUUCCUGGCUCUCAACUGUUAGUUUAUAAACUUGUCAUGUGUGUGCCAAUAAAUUCUUCAGAAUUCGUGUCAGUAUUGCACGUUAAAUACCAAGCCCAACAAUGAAGCAGUUCCUGAGAUGCCCACGCCCUGUCCGUCGGGCCUGCCUGACGCGGCGCUCAGUUCUGUGGAGUGACUCACGCUCUCCUGGAUUCUGUUUCUUUCAGAACUAUUUUUAGAAAAAUGAGGACAGAGAUUUGAUUCCUAGUUUCAGGCUCCCCA